AGAGUUGAUCCUGGCUCAGGAUGAACGCUGACAGAAUGCUUAACACAUGCAAGUCGACUCGAGUCUUCGGACUUGGGUGGCGCACGGGUGAGUAACGCGUAAAGAACUUGCCUCUUAGACCGGGACAACAUCUGGAAACGGAUGCUAAUACCGGAUAUUAUGGUUUUUUCGCAUGGAGGAAUCAUGAAAGCUAGAUGCGCUAAGAGAGAGCUUUGCGUCCCAUUAGCUGGUUGGUGAGGUAACGGCCCACCAAGGCAAUGAUGGGUAGCCGGCCUGAGAGGGUGAACGGCCACAAGGGGACUGAGACACGGCCCUUACUCCUACGGGAGGCAGCAGUGGGGAAUAUUGGACAAUGGACCACAAGUCUGAUCCAGCAAUUCUGUGUGCACGAUGACGUUUUUCGGAAUGUAAAGUGCUUUCAGUCGGGAAGAAGUCAGUGACGGUACCGACAGAAGAAGCGACGGCUAAAUACGUGCCAGCAGCCGCGGUAAUACGUAUGUCGCAAGCGUUAUCCGGAUUUAUUGGGCGUAAAGCGCGUCUAGGCGGCAAGGAAAGUCUGAUGUGAAAAUGCGGAGCUCAACUCCGUAUGGCGUUGGAAACUGCCUUACUAGAGUACUGGAGAGGUAGGCGGAACUACAAGUGUAGAGGUGAAAUUCGUAGAUAUUUGUAGGAAUGCCGAUGGGGAAGCCAGCCUACUGGACAGAUACUGACGCUAAAGCGCGAAAGCGUGGGUAGCAAACAGGAUUAGAUACCCUGGUAGUCCACGCUGUAAACGAUGAUUACUAGGUGUUGGGGGUCAAACCUCAGCGCCCAAGCUAACGCGAUAAGUAAUCCGCCUGGGGAGUACGUACGCAAGUAUGAAACUCAAAGGAAUUGACGG
rnacentral:rRNA from 1 species